rnacentral:rRNA from 1 species
AACGAACGCUGGCGGCAUGCCUAACACAUGCAAGUCGAACGAGACCUUCGUGCCUUUUUGCGCAGCUGUGCUUAACGCGUGGGAACCUGCCCUUAGGUUCCGUAUAACUCCCCUAGAGGUGUGUUAAUACCGGUUAAGGUCUUCGCACCAAGGAUCUAUUGCGGUUGGAUGGGCGCGGGUUGGAUUAGGCGGUUGGUAGGGUAAAAGCCUACCAAGGCGACGUUCCAGAGCUGGUCGGUGAGGAUGACCUGGCGGACUGGGACUGCGACACGGCCCAGAAUCGUACGGGAGGCAGCAGUGGGGAAUAUUGGACGAUGGGCGAAAGCCUGGUACAGCAAUGCCGCGUGAGUGAUGAAGGCCUUAGGGUUGUAAAGCUGUUUUACCCGGGAUGAUAAUGACAGUACCGGGAGAAUAAGCACCGGCUAACUCCGUG